AGUGUACCGCCUGGGGAGUACGGUCGCAAGAUUAAAACUCAAAGGAAUAGACGGGGACCCGCACAAGCGGUGGAGCAUGUGGUUUAAUUCGAAGAUACGCGAAGAACCUUACCUGGGCUUGAUAUCCUAAGAACCUUUUAGAGAUAAGAGGGUGCUAGCUUGCUAGAACUUAGAGACAGGUGCUGCACGGCUGUCGUCAGCUCGUGUCGUGAGAUGUUGGGUUAAGUCCCGCAACGAGCGCAACCCACGUAUUUAGUUGCUAACGGUUCGGCCGAGCACUCUAAAUAGACUGCCUUCGUAAGGAGGAGGAAGGUGUGGACGACGUCAAGUCAUCAUGGCCCUUAUGCCCAGGGCGACACACGUGCUACAAUGGCAUAUACAAUGAGACGCAAUACCGCGAGGUGGAGCAAAUCUAUAAAAUAUGUCCCAGUUCGGAUUGUUCUCUGCAACUCGAGAGCAUGAAGCCGGAAUCGCUAGUAAUCGUAGAUCAGCCAUGCUACGGUGAAUACGUUCCCGGGUCUUGUACUCACCGCCCGUCACACCAUGGGAGUUGAUUUCACUCGAAGCCGGAAUACUAAACUAGUUACCGUCCACAGUGGAAUCAGCGACUGGGGUGAAGUCGUAACAAGGUAACCGUAGGAGAACCUGCGGUUGGAUCACCUCCUUUCUAGA
rnacentral:rRNA from 1 species